rnacentral:rRNA from 1 species
UACGGGGGGGGCAAGCGUUGUUCGGAAUUACUGGGCGUAAAGGGCUCGUAGGCGGCCAACUAAGUCAAACGUGAAAUCCCUCGGCUUAACCGGGGAACUGCGCUUGAUACUGGAUGGCUUGAGAUUGGGAGAGGGAUGCGGAAUUCCAGGUGUAGCGGUGAAAUGCGUAGAUAUUGGGAGGAACACCGGUGGCGAAGGCGGCUACCUGGACCGGUUCUGACGCUGAUGCGCGAAAGCGUGGGUAGCAAACAGG